rnacentral:rRNA from 1 species
GACGAACGCUGGCGGCGUGCCUAAUACAUGCAAGUUGAGCGCUGAAGGUUGGUACUUGUACCAAUUGGAUGAGCAGCGAACGGGUGAGUAACGCGUGGGGAAUCUGCCUUUGAGCGGGGGACAACAUUUGGAAACGAAUGCUAAUACUGCAUAAAAACUUUAAACACAAGUUUUAAGUUUGAAAGAUGCAAUUGCAUCACUCAAAGAUGAUCCCGCGUUGUAUUAGCUAGUUGGUGAGGUAAAGGCUCACCAAGGCGAGGAUACAUAGCCGACCUGAGAGGGUGGUCGGCCGCAUUGGGACUGGGACACGGCCCAAACUCCUACGGGAGGCAGCAGGAGGGAAUCUUUGGCAAUGGACGAGAGUCUGACCGAGCAACGCCGCGGGAGUGAAGAAGGUUUUCGGAUCGUAAAACUCUGUUGGUAGAGAAGAACGUUGGUGAGAGUGGAAAGCUCAUCAAGUGACGGUAACUACUCAGAAAGGGACGGCUAACUACGUG